UACAGAGGGUGCGAGCGUUAAUCGGAAUUACUGGGCGUAAAGCGCGCGUAGGCGGCUUUGCAAGUCGGGUGUGAAAUCCCCAGGCUUAACCUGGGAACUGCAUUCGAGACUGCAUUGCUAGAGUAUGGGAGAGGGAAGUGGAAUUUCCGGUGUAGCGGUGAAAUGCGUAGAUAUCGGAAGGAACAUCAGUGGCGAAGGCGGCAUCCUGGACCAAUUCUGACGCUGAGGAGCGAAAGCCAGGGGAGCAAACGGG
rnacentral:rRNA from 1 species